rnacentral:rRNA from 1 species
AUUGAACGCUGGCGGCAGGCCUAACACAUGCAAGUCGAACGAGUGGCGGACGGGUGAGCAAUGUAUGGGCAACUGCCCGACGUAGGGAGAUAACUACUGGAACACGUAGCUAAUACCGCUUACCAUCGGUUCUGCCCACAUGGGAUUAGCUAGUGGGUGGGGUAACGGCUCACCUAGGGGACGAUCCCUAGCUGGUCUGAGAGGAUGACCAGCCACACGGGAACUGAGACACGGUCCAGACUCCUACGUGAGGCAGCAGUGGGGAAUAUUGCACAAUGGGCGCAAGCCUGAUGGAGCCAUGCCGCGUGAAUGAAGAAGGCCUUCGGGUUGUAAAGUACUGGUAGCGAGGAAGCGUUACUCGCAGAAGAAGCACCGGCUAACUCCGUGCCAGCAGCCGCGGUAAUUC